ACAGCAUGGUGUGGAUAUUUAUGAAUUAGAUUUUGGAGUCUCUCCCAAGUCUCAUGGAAUAUUUCUCCAUCUAUCUGAGAAAAACUGGGAAUAGCUUUUUUAAUCU